rnacentral:rRNA from 1 species
AUUGAACGCUGGCGGCAGGCCUAACACAUGCAAGUCGAGCGGAUGAAGGGAGCUUGCUCCUGGAUUCAGCGGCGGACGGGUGAGUAAUGCCUAGGAAUCUGCCUGGUAGUGGGGGAUAACGUCCGGAAACGGGCGCUAAUACCGCAUACGUCCUGAGGGAGAAAGUGGGAGAUCUUCGGACCUCACGCUAUCAGAUGAGCCUAGGUCGGAUUAGCUAGUUGGUGGGGUAAAGGCCUACCAAGGCGACGAUCCGUAACUGGUCUGAGAGGAUGAUCAGUCACACUGGAACUGAGACACGGUCCAGACUCCUACGGGAGGCAGCAGUGGGGAAUAUUGGACAAUGGGCGAAAGCCUGAUCCAGCCAUGCCGCGGGUGUGAAGAAGGUCUUCGGAUUGUAAAGCACUUUAAGUUGGGAGGAAGGGCAGUAAGUUAAUACCUGGCUGUUUUGACGUUACCAACAGAAUAAGCACCGGCUAACUUCGU